rnacentral:rRNA from 1 species
UACGGCGUGUGCACGCGUUACUCGGAAUCACUGGGCGUAAAGGAUGCGUAGGCUGGAAAUCAAGUCGAGAGUGAAAUCCAACGGCUCAACCGUUGAACUGCUCUCGAAACUGGUUACCUAGAAUAUGGGAGAGGUAGAUGGAAUUAGUGGUGUAGGGGUAAAAUCCGUAGAUAUCACUAGGAAUACCGAUUGCGAAGGCGAUCUACUGGAACAUUAUUGACGCGGAGGCAUGCAAGCGGGGGGAGCACACAGGAGGCGAUAACCCUGUAGUCC